rnacentral:tRNA from 1 species
AGAAAAGUAAGCUAAUAAAGCUAAUGGGCUCAUACCCCACCUAUAGAGGAAGACCUCUCUUAUCUA